rnacentral:rRNA from 1 species
UCUGACGUUAGCGGCGGACGGGUGAGUAACACGUGGAUAACCUACCUAUAAGACUGGGAUAACUUCGGGAAACCGGAGCUAAUACCGGAUAAUAUAUUGAACCGCAUGGUUCAAUAGUGAAAGACGGUUUUGCUGUCACUUAUAGAUGGAUCCGCGCCGCAUUAGCUAGUUGGUAAGGUAACGGCUUACCAAGGCAACGAUGCGUAGCCGACCUGAGAGGGUGAUCGGCCACACUGGAACUGAGACACGGUCCAGACUCCUACGGGAGGCAGCAGUAGGGAAUCUUCCGCAAUGGGCGAAAGCCUGACGGAGCAACGCCGCGUGAGUGAUGAAGGUCUUCGGAUCGUAAAACUCUGUUAUUAGGGAAGAACAAAUGUGUAAGUAACUAUGCACGUCUUGACGGUACCUAAUCAGAAAGCCACGGCUAACUACGUGCCAGCAGCCGCGGUAAUACGUAGGUGGCAAGCGUUAUCCGGAAUUAUUGGGCGUAAAGCGCGCGUAGGCGGUUUUUUAAGUCUGAUGUGAAAGCCCACGGCUCAACCGUGGAGGGUCAUUGGAAACUGGAAAACUUGAGUGCAGAAGAGGAAAGUGGAAUUCCAUGUGUAGCGGUGAAAUGCGCAGAGAUAUGGAGGAACACCAGUGGCGAAGGCGACUUUCUGGUCUGUAACUGACGCUGAUGUGCGAAAGCGUGGGGAUCAAACAGGAUUAGAUACCCUGGUAGUCCACGCCGUAAACGAUGAGUGCUAAGUGUUAGGGGGUUUCCGCCCCUUAGUGCUGCAGCUAACGCAUUAAGCACUCCGCCUGGGGAGUACGACCGCAAGGUUGAAACUCAAGGAAUUGACGGGGACCCGCACAAGCGGUGGAGCAUGUGGUUUAAUUCGAAGCAACGCGAAGAACCUUACCAAAUCUUGACAUCCUCUGACCCCUCUAGAGAUAGAGUUUUCCCCUUCGGGGGACAGAGUGACAGGUGGUGCAUGGUUGUCGUCAGCUCGUGUCGUGAGAUGUUGGGUUAAGUCCCGCAACGAGCGCAACCCUUAAGCUUAGUUGCCAUCAUUAAGUUGGGCACUCUAAGUUGACUGCCGGUGACAAACCGGAGGAAGGUGGGGAUGACGUCAAAUCAUCAUGCCCCUUAUGAUUUGGGCUACACACGUGCUACAAUGGACAAUACAAAGGGCAGCGAAACCGCGAGGUCAAGCAAAUCCCAUAAAGUUGUUCUCAGUUCGGAUUGUAGUCUGCAACUCGACUAU